GAUGAACGCUGGCGGCGUGCCUAAUACAUGCAAGUCGAGCGAACAGACGAGGAGCUUGCUCCUCUGACGUUAGCGGCGGACGGGUGAGUAACACGUGGAUAACCUACCUAUAAGACUGGGAUAACUUCGGGAAACCGGAGCUAAUACCGGAUAACAUAUUGAACCGCAUGGUUCAAUAGUGAAAGACGGUUUUGCUGUCACUUAUAGAUGGAUCCGCGCCGCAUUAGCUAGUUGGUAAGGUAACGGCUUACCAAGGCAACGAUGCGUAGCCGACCUGAGAGGGUGAUCGGCCACACUGGAACUGAGACACGGUCCAGACUCCUACGGGAGGCAGCAGUAGGGAAUCUUCCGCAAUGGGCGAAAGCUUGACGGAGCAACGCCGCGUGAGUGAUGAAGGUCUUCGGAUCGUAAAACUCUGUUAUUAGGGAAGAACAAAUGUGUAAGUAACUAUGCACGUCUUGACGGUACCUAAUCAGAAAGCCACGGCUAACUACGUG
rnacentral:rRNA from 1 species